ACAUGAGUCUUUGAAGCAGCCACAAGGCGGCAGUAUUGUGCCAAAUUUCACACCACUUGGGUUUAAAACAAAACAAAACAAAUUUUUCUUGAGAGAAAAAAAAAACCACAAAAUUUUCUUGAGGUCUUUUGAGGAAGGUAAUUAUUAAAAAUGAUCCUUUUUCACUACAAUGCUUCCCAAGAAGAAUUUGUGAUUGUAAUUCAUUCCUCUGUCACAAAAAUACGUUAAGAUCUAGUCUCAAAAGUGGCAAUCUUUGUUUUGUUCCCUGCUACACUCUAAGACUCUACCGCGGGGGACAGAGAAGGAGCUAAAACAAAAAACUCUUAAAUUCUGGGUAAUAUUGAAUGAGCUGCCAAAUGAGAACUGGAACACAUCUCUUCCUCCUAAUGUAACACAGGGAUAUUAUUGCUAAUUCACAAAGGGGUUCUUUCCAUUUCUAAGAAAAGGGGUAAAAUAUUACACUUGGCCAUGAAUUUUUCCAUCAAAUAAUUUAAAGAAAUAUGUUACGGAAGACAAUGAUCUCAUCAAUAAUUCCUUUCUCUGUGUUUCUUAUACUUUCUGUUGGAAGAAGCAGUUUCCUGAGAGACUAGGAGUGGAGCCCAGUGGGUCUCCCGCCGUACGCUGCCUGAAAGAAGCCUGUGCAUGCUUUUGAACCAGGAGAUGGAGGAAGUGCACAGGACAAAGAUGUCAGAAAAUACAUCCUCAUUCUAUAAUACGUGGUUCUUCAUAUUUCAAGGUGUUGGAUAUUGUGUCCCAGAGAAAGGAAAGCAACAAAGAGAUAUUUUGGUACUGAGAGUGAGGUCAUUGCUGUGACAUUGCCUGACUAUGUGGUUCAGAAGCCUUUAGAACUGGGUUACCAGAGGAGUUUGGAAAGUUUUAGAGAUGCCAGCUGGAGAAGCAGCCAUUAAAUGCUGUGAGCUGAGUUUGAUGAGAGAUUCUGGUCAGAGCUCAGAAUGCUCAUAGAAAUGCAGCUGGGCUAAGUAGGUUUCAGUUGGGAACAACAACUGCACUGGCAAUUGGAUUCCAGGCCAUGUGUGUCAUGAUUUGGCAAUUUGUCUGCAUUUUGCUCAUGUCCAGAGAUAUUUCUGGAGACUGAGGGUAAGGGCAGCAGACUGAUUAAUCCAGUGGAAGACAUUUUAAGGCAGUCUAAUGUUGAGGUGGUGGCAUGGCUACUAUUGGGGGCUUUAAGCCAGCUGUACCUUGAGAAUCAAGAACCAACUACCCAGGAGAAUGAUCUUAAGAGUUUUGAGUUUGGCCAGAAAGUCAGCUCUGAUAAAGUUGCCACCUGCAAAGAUGGAGUAGAGGAGUACUUAGUUGCUGGAAAGAUUAGCACUGAUGCCAAUGGUGUCUUUGAAAGGGGUCAAUAGAAACAAUGGCCUGGGGCUGUGGAUUUAGCACAGUGAUUCCGCCUCCUGCCUCGUAAGUGCAAGGUCCCGAGAAUGGUAGUAGCCUAGGGAAUUUGUUUCUCAGGAUUGGGAUCAUAGUACUUAGCAAUCUAGGUGCCAGACUUCUACAGCCAAGAGAGAAGGAAGCCUGGCUACUGCUCCAGAUGGAGGCAGACCUUGCUGCCAUUCAUGUGCUACUAGUUUUAGAUGCAUGUAGAAUGCAAGAGAUGUAGGAUCAGGAAGAUUUCCACCUAGAUUUCAGAAGAAGGCCUGGGAAUGCCUCUGAGAGGGCAGUGUGUAGAGCUGUGAGAGUGAAGUUGAAAGUUCAGGAGAGACUCCAGAAAGUUGGAGAAGCCAAGAAGAAGGAUCAUCAGAGGAAAGUCAUGAGGAGUGAACAAAGCUGGCCCAAGAGAGAGACCAUGAGGACCACUGGCAGUGCCGUAGGGGGCCUUACAUCUAAGAAAUUUCCUUAAAUCUCAGAGGAGAAUUUGGACUUGGACUUUUCAGCAGUGCUGAAACUAUUAGCAUUUUGGCAACUCUUAAAGAAGGACUAAAGGUAUUUUGCAUAAAGGGAUGCACAUGAUUCUUUUGGGAGCCAGGGGUAAAAUGUUAUGACUUACAUCUAGAUGUCCCCCCAAAGCCUUAUGUACUUAUAGAUGGGGUUUGGGGGAGUGACUGGAUUGUGGGUCUGUCAUACUGGAUUAGUUCACUGAUUAGUACAGUUCUGGAUGUGGAUGAUGGACUUACUGAAGAGGGAAGACUCACUCUGGAUGUGGGUAGCACAAAUCAAUAGGCUUGCAGCCUGAAUGGAAUAAAAAGGGAAAGAAGAAGGAAGGUUUGCUGCUUUCUGCCUGUCAUGACCCUCUGUCAUGCUGCCCUGCCUUAGACCCAGUCAACCAUGGACUUAACCCUCUAGAAACUGUGAGCUAAAAGAAAUCUUUCCUUCUUUAAUUUGUAGGUGUCAGGUAUUGUGUUCCAGUGGUGAGAAAGUUCCUAAGACAAGCCUAGAGUCAAGGGGAAGAUUAAAUGUGGUUUAGGAUUGUCAGGAAAGCUUGCUACAUUAUUUCUAAGGGACUCAAAAAAUAGAACAAGGAGCAGAAAGAUGGACGUUCAUUUCCAGGAAGGAGACUAAUAUUAGUGAAAGCAUGAAGGAGAGAGAGAACUCAUUUACUGAAGGUGUAUUAGAUAGCAUGUGCUAUAGAUAUAUUCAGGAAAUGAAGUAAAUAUUUUAUAUUCUCAGCAGGUCUUUCAGGUAGAUAUUAUUAUUUCUAUCUGACAAAAGGACAAUAUUGCUUAGGGUAAGUUGCACUAGGUCAUCCAAUCCAUGAUAAAUGCAAUUCAGAUUUAAUCACUAUAUCUGUCUGAGACUCAAGAGAUGGACUGUGUCCAGCAGCUAAUUGCCUUCUUUCCAUGUCUGUGUUAUAGAGAGGAUACUGUCUCACCCCUAGCAAAUUAAAUUGGUGAAUAGAUAGAGCCAUAUUAAAGAGGGCUGCAGAUGGCAGGAUGAUACUUUGUUGUUAUCGCUUGUAUCUAGAUAUCUCAAAACCUCAUGUGCUCAUAGCUGGGGCUUUUAGGAGGUGGCUGGAUCAGGGGUGUGUGAUACUGGCAGUAAGGAUGUGUAGUACUGUAUUCAUCCACUGAUUGUUUAGCAUAGUUCUGUGUGUGGAUAAUGAGAAAGCCCACCUGGGUUGAGUGGUACCAUCCAAUAGGGUUGUAGCCUGGAUAGGAUAAAAAUCCAAAAGGCUUGCUGCUCUCUGCCUUCUUGUCUAUCCUGCCAUGGACUGUUUCUCUUCUGCCAUGCCCCUCGGCCACGCUGCCCUGCCUUGGAGCCAGCCAACUGUGUGCUGAAACCUCUACAAACUGUGAGCUUAAAUAAAUCUUUCCUCCUUUAACUUGUGGAUGUCAGGUAUUUUGUUCCAGCACAGAAAAAGUAACUAAAAUAAAUGUGAUUACAGAUGGUCACUGGCAAUUUUUAAGUUGGGAAUUAAUAUAGUAUGAGCAAUGUUUAGGAGAGAAAAAUGCAAGUGGUUUGACAAAUAGAAAUAGGUAAAUUUAUGGUAAGUAGAAAUAAGGGGCUCUUUUAAAAACUCAGGGAUCAAAAGAUGUGGGAUUUGGCUAUAAUGAAGGCAUGAAUUUAGCAAUGAGGAGAUGAAAGUGAGAAAACAUUAAAAGAAAAAUCAAAAGGACUUAGAGCAGAUUGAAUACAGGGAAAGAUACACACCAGUGACUUGUAGAGAAACUUUUGUCAGUUAUAAGAGUUACAGUGCUGUGGACAGAAAUGCAAAAGUUGAGAGACAGAGGGAGUCUGAAACUUUGAUAAAAUGGGUAUUUUUUGCCAGUGUAACCAGGGAAUGUGGCAUGCUUCCAGGUAAGAAAGAAGAAAAUAAAUUUCUCUCUAUCGAUAAUUUCUAUAUCUCAAAAUGUAGAAGUUUUAAAUGCAAAUAUUUUAUUUGUUCUGCCUAGAAGACCUCAAAUAUAAUAAAGAAUAUGUUAUAGUCUUUCUGUUCUUCAACUGUGAAGCUAAGAGAAUAAGAGAUUUAUGAAGGAUGAAGUCUAUUGUUUCAGAAACUUUGCAGACCAGAAGGCAGUGGGAUGUUGCAUUUUAAUUGCUGAAAUAAGAAUUGCUGUCAACUGAGAAUUCUGUAUCCAGCAAAACUGUGUUUCACUGACAAAGAAGAAAUGAAGACAUCUCCAGGAAAACAAAAGCUGAGGGAGUUAAUUGCUGCUAGGCAUUCCCUUGGAGAAAUGGUAAAUGCAGCUCUUCAAUUUGAAAUGGAAGAACGCUAAAGAGUGAUGCAAAGGCAUGCAAAAAUAUAGUUAUCUGAGUAAACAUAAAUCUAUGGAUCAAUACACUUUUUUAAAAGGUAUUAUUAUAAUGCUGAUUGACAACUUCACUUUCUAUUUUCAAUAAGAUUUAAAAACAAAAGCAUAAACAUAGCUAUUAAUCUAGCUUAACAGGUACACAAAUAUAAAGAUAUAAUUUGUGACACUAAUAACAUAGUGUUUGUGGGGGAGUGAAGCUGUAAAGGAAUAGAAUUUCUUUAUGCAAAUGAAAUUAAUUGGCUAUCAUAAAAUAGUGUUAUAACUUCAUGAUGUUAGAUGUAAUCCCUGUGGUAAGUACAAAGAAAGUAUCUAUUGCAAAUACACAAAAGGGAAUGAAAAGGGAAUCAAAACAUGUCACUGCAGAAAACUGACUAAAUAAAAGCAAUAAUGGAGAUAGUGAGGGACAAACAAAGUAUCAGACACACAGAAAACAAAUAACAAAAUUGCUAAAAUAAGUCUUUUCCUACUAAUGGUUAGUUUAAAUGUAAAUGGAUUAAACUCACCAGAUCAAAGAACAGAGAUUGGCAGAAUGGAUUUUAAAAAAUCAAGAUUCAGCUGUGUAUUAUUUGCAGAGCUUUGCUUUAGAUCCAAGAACAUGCCUAAAUAGAAAGUGAAAGAAUGGAAAGAAUAUUCCAUGCAAAAAGUAAUUGAAAGAGAGGAGAGGUGGCUAUCCUAACAUAACACAAAAUACAUUUUAAGCAAAAAGCCAUUACAACAGUCAAAGAAAAAUAUUAUAUAUGAUAAAAGGGUCAUUUCACCAAGAAGAUACAAUCAUUAUGAAUAUAAAUGCACCCAAAAUCAGAACUCCAAAAUAUGCAGUAAUACUUUGAUUCUGGAAUGCUUCUGUUUGUAAACAAUUCAGUUCAUAAACAAAGUGUUUGGCAAAAUUUUGCUUCUGUUUUCAAACUCCACAUUGGGUGACAAACCUGACUAUGCCUAUCUUCCUCACAUGAACAAAAAAGUAGCUAUCUUCCCUAAAUUGGAAUACCAAUUAAAUUCAUAAACCAACAUGCUACUGUACUAAGAAAUACUGUCAGAAUUGAAGGGAGAAAUUGGCAGCUUUAUAAUAAUAGGAAAUUUUAAUACAUAACUCAUGAUGAUGAAUGGAACAACUAAAUAAAAGAUUAACAAGGAAACAAAAGAUUAUGAACAAUCCUGCAUAGUCAUUGGCUCUAACCGGCAUAUGCAGAACUCUCCAUCCAACAACAGCAGAAUAGAAUAUAUGCUUUUUUCCCAAAUGUACACAGAACAUUCUCCAGGAGAGACUACAUGUUAGGCUAAAAAUAAUUUUUAAUACAUUUUAAAAGAAUGAAUGAUACAAACUAUCUUGUAUUGAUCACAAUAGAGUGAAACUGGAAAUCAACUUCUGAUAAAAACUUGAAUAAUUUACCACUAUGUGGAAAAAAUAGGGUCUUAUACAAUGAUGUCAAGGAAGAAAUCGUAAGAGAAACUGAAAAAUAUCUCGAGAUAAAUAAAAAACAAAAAAUCAUUGAAUAUAGCAAAAUCAGUGCUACAUCAGUGCUGCAAAAUCAGUGCUACACAAGAAAAAGAGAGAAAAGUUUCAAGCCAUUAAACUUUCACCCUACGGUGCAUAAAAACCAUACUUAAACUAUGCUCAAACAAAGACAAUGAACUAUGCUCAAAGCUAUCAAAAUGCAAAGAAUAACAAAGA